GACGAACGCUGGCGGCGUGCUUAACACAUGCAAGUCGAACGGAAAGGCCCUGCUUUUGUGGGGUGCUCGAGUGGCGAAAGGGUGAGUAACACGCGAGUAACCUGUCCUUGACUUUGGGAUAACUUCAGGAAACUGGGGAUCAUAUCGGAUAGGAGCUCCUGCAGCAUGGUGGGGGAUGGUAAGUUUCGGCGGUUGGGGAUGGACUCGCGGCUUCUCCGCUUGUUGGUGGGGUAGUGGCUUACCAAGGCUUUGACGGGUAGCCCGCCUGAGAGGGUGACCAGCCACAUGAGGACUGAGGUACGGCCCAGACUCCUACGGGAGGCAGCAGUGGAGAAUAUUGCACAGUGGGCCGAAGCCUGAUGCAGCAACGCCGCGUGCGGAAUGACGUCCUUCUGGUUGUAAACCGCUUUCGCCGUUGACGAAGCGUGCUUGACGGUAAUGGAUAAAGAAGCACCGGCUAACUACGUG
rnacentral:rRNA from 1 species